UUUGAAAAGUUAUUAUUGUGUUGGACGAUGUUCGGCAACGUUUUCGAGAAUGAAAUAGCCUAUUUCGCACCCACGCUAUCUAUCCAGAGACGAGAGAACAAAUACACGGACGGGUGACCACUUACGCACCCGUGCUCGAAGACUUUCGCUUUUGAUUUUUCGCAUUCCGUAAAUGGUUCGCAAGAGAGGAGAAGGAUUCCGUACGAGGUUUCGAAAAAUGAGUAGAAGGAACGAUCAAUUAAAUACUAAGGGAAAUGGAAAAUCGAAUGGUUGCACCGCGCCCGUUUCUUUAAACUUAUUUGUUUCCCGAAGGGUUCUCGUACUUAAGGAGGACGAGCAAAUAAGAUUUCAUUCUAGCAAAAGAGCUUUCGGAAGAAAAACGAACAAAAAUAAUCCAUGCUCGCAUACUAAUUACAAUUCAAUUAUUUCUAAAUUCUAUCCAUCACGGAAGGGAACGAGUUUCGAUAAAACGAAAGAUUGGACGAAGGGGCGAACACUCAUUUGGAUUCAAUCCAAACGAGGAUGAGGAAGAGGAAGAAGAAGAGCAACUCGAAGAGAGGACCCGUACAACAGGCAUGAUCACCUAGAAGAUUAUUCAACUGUACCGCAUUAAACUAUGAUAAGAUAGUUAAGUUGAAAUUUAUCCAACAGGCCAAAGGGAAUUAUGCUCUUUAUUGCCGGCAGCACUCAUUAAAUCACUUAUAGGCUAACUGGAUAUAUCUAGGGAAUUUCCUGGCGCAGCCAUGAAUUCGCGAGAAUCAAUGGGAAUUCAUAACUAUCUAUGGAAAAUAAAUUACCGCUACUAGUUGCCACGGUUGCUAUGGUAAACUCUACAUAUUCUCAAUAUCAUCGUAACGAUACGUAUAACUAUAUAGAUCGAUAUA
rnacentral:lncRNA from 1 species